AUGGAAAUCCUAAUGACAGUCUUCACAUUUGUCUCCAUCUGUACAGUGGGCGCCAAUGCCUCGAAAUUAGAGAAAGAGAUUGGUCCAGAACAGUUUCUGGUCAGCAAGCACUAUUUCGGAUUAGUCAGUUUGAGGAACACCUGAUAUUGCAACUCAGUUCUUACAAGCACUUUAUUUUUGUUGUCCAUUUCAGGAAAAAGUUCUAGUAUACAAAAGUCAGCCCAGAAAAAAAGGAGAAUCUUCUCACCUGCCUGGCAGACCUCUUCCACAACAUAGCCGUCCAGAAGGAAGGUCGGCAUGAUCCCGCCCAAGAAGUUUAUCACAAGAUUGCAGAAAGAAAACAAGUUGUUUGACAGCUACAUGCAACAAGGUGUCCAUGAAUUCUUAAGUUACCUACUCAAUACAAUUGCUGAUAUUCUACAAUAAGAAAGAAAACAGGGGAAGCAAAAUGGACGAUUAGGGAACGGAGACCCAUGGACAGCAAGGAUAACAACAGCACUACCAGACCCAACGUAGGUCCACGAAAUUUUUCAUGGAACAUUAACUAAUGAAACCAAGUGUCUUACUUGUGCUUACUAUAAGCAGCAAAGAUGAAUAUUUGGGUUUUUUUUUUUUAGACUUUUCUGUUGACAUGGAACAAAACACAUCAAUUACUCACUGUUUAAGAGGAUUCAGUAACACAGAAACUGUGCUGUGAAUAUAAAUACUACUGUAAAGAGUGCCUGAGCAAGCAGAAAGCACACACAUGCCUGGAAGUUAAGAAACUACCCAUGAUCCUGCCUCUGCACCUGAAGAGAUUUAAAUAUAUGGACCAAAUUCAUCGAUAUAGAAAGCUUUCUUACCGGGUGCUGUUUCCUUUAGAACUCCGUCUGUUUAACAUUUCAGGAGACACAACCAACCCUGACAGAAUGUAUGACCUGGUCGCUGUUGAGGUUCACUGCGGAAGUGGUCCCAACUGAGGCCAUUAUAUUGCAAUAGUUAAGAGUCAUGAUUUCUGGUUGUUAUGUGAUGACAACAUUGUAGAGUAGAUGCACAAGCUAUUGAAGACUUCUACAGAUUGACAUCUGAUAUCUCCAAGAACUCAGAGUCUGGGUACAACCUUUUCUAUCAGUUUCUGGACUGA
rnacentral:lncRNA from 1 species